GUGGACGCUGGCGGUAGGCCUAACCCAUGCCAGUCGAACGGCAGCACAGUAAGAGCUUGCUCUUACGGGUGGCGAGUGGCGGACGGGUGAGGAAUACAUCGGAAUCUACUUUUUCGUGGGGGAUAACGUAGGGAAACUUACGCUAAUACCGCAUACGACCUACGGGUGAAAGCAGGGGAUCUUCGGACCUUGCGCGAUUGAAUGAGCCGAUGUCGGAUUAGCUAGUUGGCGGGGUAAAGGCCCACCAAGGCGACGAUCCGUAGCUGGUCUGAGAGGAUGAUCAGCCACACUGGAACUGAGACACGGUCCAGACUCCUACGGGAGGCAGCAGUGGGGAAUAUUGGACAAUGGGCGCAAGCCUGAUCCAGCCAUACCGCGUGGGUGAAGAAGGCCUUCGGGUUGUAAAGCCCUUUUGUUGGGAAAGAAAAGCAGCAGGUUAAUACCCCGCUGUUCUGACGGUACCCAAAGAAUAAGCACCGGCUAACUUCGUG
rnacentral:rRNA from 1 species